GACAGCAGCCGCCGCGGUAAUACGAAGGGGGCUAGCGUUGUUCGGAAUCACUGGGCGUAAAGGGUGCGUAGGCGGAUUCUUAAGUCAGGGGUGAAAUCCCGAGGCUCAACCUCGGAACUGCCUUCGAUACUGGGGAUCUUGAGUCCGGAGGAGGUGAGUGGAACUGCGAGUGUAGAGGUGAAAUUCGUAGAUAUUCGCAAGAACACCGGUGGCGAAGGCGGCUCACUGGUCCGGAACUGACGCUGAGGCACGACAGCGUGGGGAGCAAACAGGAUUAGAUACCCGAGUAGUCCCUGUCUCUUAUAC
rnacentral:rRNA from 1 species